rnacentral:rRNA from 1 species
GACGUAGGGCGCGAGCGUUGUCCGGAUUUAUUGGGCGUAAAGAGCUCGUAGGCGGCUUGUCGCGUCGAAUGUGAAAUCUCAGGGCUCAACUCUGACAUUGCAUUCGAUACGGGCAGGCUAGAGUUCGGUAGGGGAGACUGGAAUUCCUGGUGUAGCGGUGAAAUGCGCAGAUAUCAGGAGGAACGCCGGUGGCGAAGGCGGGUCUCUGGGCCGAUACUGACGCUGAGGAGCGAAAGCGUGGGGAGCGAACAGG